CUACGGGUGGCUGCAGUGGGGAAUCUUAGACAAUGGGCGCAAGCCUGAUCUAGCCAUGCCGCGUGAGUGAUGAAGGCCUUAGGGUCGUAAAGCUCUUUCGCUGGGGAAGAUAAUGACGGUACCCAGUAAAGAAACCCCGGCUAACUCCGUGCCAGCAGCCGCGGUAAUACGGAGGGGGUUAGCGUUGUUCGGAAUUACUGGGCGUAAAGCGCGCGUAGGCGGACUGUUAAGUCGGGGGUGAAAUCCCGGGGCUCAACCCCGGAACGGCCUUCGAUACUGGCAGUCUGGAGUUCGAGAGAGGGGAGUGGAAUUCCGGGUGUAGAGGUGAAAUUCGUAGAUAUUCGGAGGAACACCAGUGGCGAAGGCGGCUCACUGGCUCGAUACUGACGCUGAGGUGCGAAAGUGUGGGGAGCAAACAGGAUUAGAUACCCGAGUAGUC
rnacentral:rRNA from 1 species